rnacentral:lncRNA from 1 species
CGGCAUCCAGCCCAACGCCGGCCACCCCGUCCUCGCCGGCGGCGGCCUCACCCUCCGCUCCCUCACCCACCAAUCCAUCCCCGUCCCCGACGCCCACUGGUCCGGCCGCGUCUGGGCCCGCACCGGCUGCUCCUACUCCGGCACCGCCUUCUCCUGCGCCAGCGGCGACUGCGGCGGCCGCCUCCAGUGCAACGGCGCCGGGGGCGCCGCACCCGCCACCCUCGCCCAGCUCGAGGUCCACCACGGCAGCAACGACUACGCCUCCUACGGCGUCAGCCUCGUCGACGGUUUUAACGUCCCCAUGACCUUCACCCCGCACGAGGGCAAAGGCGUGUGCCCUGUCGUGGGUUGCCGCAACGACCUUCUCGCCACGUGUCCGCGCGUGCUGCAGCACCGUGUGCCCGCGGGUCACGGACCCGUGGUGGCUUGCAAGAGCGGGUGCGAGGCUUUUCACACGGACGAACUCUGUUGCAGGAACCACUUCAACAACCCUAACACGUGCAAGGGAUCUAUCUACUCCUCCUUCUUCAAGCACGCGUGCCCUGCCACCUUUACAUUUGCUCAUGACACCCCCUCCCUCAUGCACCAGUGUUCCUCCCCGCGUGAGCUUAAGGUUAUCUUUU